rnacentral:lncRNA from 10 species
CAAAAUCUUCAUUUUUCAUAAGAUUCUACAAUGAUUUAUAAUGAACAUUUAGGCUUGAGAACCCUGCUGUAAAAACCCAAACAUGAUGUGUCAGAGUUGUAGAUGUUAAUUUCUGUCAAAUCCGUUUGCUAAUCUUAACUAUUUGCAUAAUCCAUUUAAUAAUAUCCUUUUAUUAUCUUAGAAUCUUUAGGAGAGUGCUAUUAAAUUAUCUUGGCCUAGUCUCAUAAGGACAGAAGAAAAUUAAGCUAUGCAUGUUCAACUGCUUUGGGUCAGAGUGACAAAACUGAGAUAAAUGUUAUUAGAAACCACUAUGGUAAGAAACAGGAGCUUUAAUAGUCGGUGUUAACUGCCAAAACUGCAGGAGUUAAUGAGAUGCUGCAUGGUCAGGACCCAUAGCUAUAUAGAAUAGAAAGCAUCUUAAGAUCAAAGGUAGUUGCACAGACAGAGAUCUGCAUUGACUUGAUACUGUGCUGUAUUAAUCUUGAUAUCUUUGUUCCUUGCACACUGCCAUAGUGCCUGUUGUUGGGACUGGAUAAAUGUUUGUUGAAUUAAGCUGAAAUAUGGUGACUAAAAGCUCUUGACAUGAUAUAUUAUUUCAUAUUUUAUUCAUUUUAUUCUUUAGUGGAAUUAUAUUAAAUCUACAUGUCUGAGUCUUUUACAAAUUGAUUUUUAUUCAACUCUCUGAAGGUUUACACAAUAAGCCUAUGUUCUUAUAAUAAAGCAGCCCUAAAAUAUUACAUUAUUUAUUAUGAUAGAACAAGCUCAAUUGUCCAACAUCUUAUUUCUUCUACAUGUUAACUCCACUUACGUGUUUAAAAUAUCUAACCACUAGGUGUCGUUUAUCCGGAUGCUGCAUGAUUAAGACCACCAUACUCUUAUCAAGCAUACAGGUGUUAAUGUCUAUUUUAAAGAGGAGAGAACUCAAGAAGUUCUGUAGAAACUGCUUUCUUCAUCAUAUCUCAAAGGAUUUGCUGAGGAUUUCAGAGGUGCCACGAGUUGAGAGAAGUGAGCCAAAAAAACUCAUCUGAAGUGUUUGGACAGAUGAAAUCAAUGGCUGCUGAUUAAAUGAGAGGCACACAGACUUCGGACAUUUCACUUAAUGCUGAAAAUUCACUCUACUGCCACUACUCAGGACUUCUGAUGGGCAUGAAAAUCCAAGCCUGCUUUAUGAUAUUAACCUCUGAAUUUCAUAAACCGCUUAAAACUUUAGAAUGUCCAGAAAACACUGGUAGAAUACGGACACAUGAGACAAGGCCAGAAAGGAAGUCAAUAAAAUGUGAUUACUAAGCAAAUUACCACCAGAGAAGCAGAAGGAAAUCCCUCUUCAAUAUUUUGAGAGACAGUAAAGAACAUUCCCUGGAGUUAGGACAAAUGAAGAGCAAGAAGUUUCAUCUUGCUCUGUCAUCCAGGCUGGAGUGCAGGGGCACCAUCUCGGCUCACUGAAACCUCCACUUCCCGGGUUCAAGCGAUUCUCCUGCCUCAGCCUCCUGAGUAACUGGGGUUACAGAGUGAAUAGACAACCUACAGAAUGGGAGAAAAUACUUGCAAGCUAUGUAUCCAACAAAGGACUAAUAUCGAGAAUUUACAAGGAACUCAAACAAAACUCAACAAGAGUAAAACAACCCCAAUAAAAAGAGAAGUUGAUGGUGACUGAAAUUCUGAAAAUAUGCAGUCAGCACUUUUGUCUUCAUGGAAAGUGAACACAUUUGGAAAUAUUGGCUCAGCAUUGCAGCUAUACCCUUUAGACAGGAAACACACUUUCCAGUUCUCCUUGACAGAGAGGCUGAAGGUAGGUUAUCACUCAUCAUCAAAUGUCUUGAGGAUUUUUUAGAGUAAAUAAAUAUUUCCCUCUUUAUAUGUUUCUAGCAAAAGUUCACAAAGGAAAAACAAAUCUGAAUGAGCUAGUGUUUCAAAAAAGAGAGAAAGAGAGACUACGUUUCUUUGUAGAAAUAAAUAUUAUUAUUGUUGUUUAAUAGGAAAGCAGAGUCUUUGGUACAAAAUGUGUAUCUUUUGUCCUAUACCUACCCUAACCCUAUAGGUAUUUCAGUUUGUAACUUCUGGUCUGGAGAUAUUCAGCCAUGUAAAUGCUUCUGAAUCUUCACUUCUAUAUUUCUGUCAACUGCAGUUUUACAGCAAAAAUGUGGUUCAUCGGUUUAACCCAAUUUUCAGGGUAGGAAUGUCAAAGAAAUGCAUCAGUCACAGAAAAUUAAGAAACAGCCAUAUAGUACCUAAUGGCCUAAGAAACUUAAUCUGUUUCCCAAAUCACUUGACUUACUGUCUAGGUCUUUUUUUUUCUUUUUUUCUUUUUUUGUCCCCACUGAGGAAUAUGAAGUUCAAUAUCUUUUCCCUGAAGACUUCAAAUGAAAUCAAAUUGUCUUUUAUUUCAAACAUAAAUCCAAUAAUCAAUAUCUGGUUGGCAGGGUCUUAUAUGGGUUAUUUCUUGAAAACCAAAGACAAUAAUUGAGUUUUAAAUGUGCUUAACAUUUCAGGAUGAUACAUGGUGAAUGCAAUGGAGAAUCUUUUUCUGUCAAUGUAGAUUUCUUAAUAGAAAUUCACUUAAAUGAGGGCCUAUCAAUUUGUAGUAAAUUAUUUCACUCUAGUUUAGAACAAGCUUUAUUGAACACAUGCCUGCCCCUACACAGAAUAAAUCACGCCUUGGCAGUGCUAUUCAUUUAAAUAAAUAUUUUCUCUGUUUUAAUUUUAAAUAAGUCCUUACCAUCUGCUCUGUCCUUUAGUUACAAAUGUCAAGCAACAUAACUUACUAUUGUGCCAUUUACAAACUGCAGACAGAGAAGUGAUUUGGUGCUUGCCAUGUUUUUGUUUUUAGUUCUACACAGUCAGUAUUUGUUUUUCCUUUUCUCAUGCUUCAAAUAUAAUGGGAGAUAUAAUUCUAUUCUGACAUAUUGAAACCUUCCCCAGAAAAAAAGAGACACAGGGAAGGAAGAAUGAUUAAUUGAAAGACUAAACUAAGGCCAUAUCUGCAGAAAUGUGAUGUAUCUGAAGGAUUGUAAUCACGUAGAUGAGAUGUUAAACCUAACUCUAUGAGGCAGAUGCCAUGCAGACUGCAUUGUAGCCAAGACCCUUAGUAAAGGAAAACCAAUUUGUCUUAUAGGAAGAACAAAAGACAUUUCCAGAGAAACCAAGAAUUAAAGGUGCAUUCACCCUGUCUGCAUCUUUUGAUAGACUUCAUAUUCUAGGGGCAUAGCAAAAACUACUCAAAUGUUAGAAAAGCAUCACAAACUGAAUAGAACAGGAGCGUGAUAAGUCUGGUUAACAUGAAAGGUUACGUUCAAUUCAGCUCAGUGUUCAUUAAGCCCUUUCUCUGAAGAAAUCACAGCAUGAAGCACUUAGCUGAAUACAUUCAUAAUGAAAAUAAAAACUGCUGGUUCAUUUUUUAAAAAGAAAAAGAACAGAAAACCCUUAUAACAUGUUUAUAUGAAAAAUUCAUAAAGAACUAAAAUUACUAAUUGGAAAUUUAUGACAUUUUAUAAAACCAGAGCAUAGGAGCCUUCAAAGCCUUGGCUAUUCUGCUAGGACAGGCUUCCCACGUUGUGGAUGGGAACUCUCUUGAGAUGUUUCUUGGAAUUUUUCUCUCAGUUCAACAUUCCACAGCUAUCUGAGAGCAGACUUGGGUCUCUAGGAUACUGUACUCUGGCCAAGGCCAGACUAAUCUGGGUCUCCUGUUCCAGGAUGAUACAGUGAUAAGGGUGGUCAGUUUUAUAGAAUUAAAACAUAGACAUACUUAAGUUUCCUUAGGCACUGAAAUCUGUGGUUAUGUCUAUUUGAUUAUAGUAUUUCCCAGAGAUAACGUAAGUUUUCAUCUUUUCAUUUUUAAACCUUACUUGGUAGUAAUUAUCUCAGGUAAACUCAUCUAUUCUACAUUUUCCCUGUGGUAAAACCACUCUUCUCUUUCACAACAGAUAGAGUGGGAAGAAAAAUGUUGAUAUUUAAAACUAAAGUAAAAAAGCUACAGAAGCUUCUACUAUUUCAGAUAAGUAAAAUAAUUCAUGCAAGGUGAUACUUGUUUUUCUGUUUGAUGUCAACAUAGGCACAUCAGUAGGUAACUUUCCUUGGUCGUGUGAAGUCCUCAGAAGAAACAAUAAUUUGGAAAUAAAAUUACAAAGCUUAGAAAUGUCACACUAUCUACAUUCACAAUGAAAUAAAAAACUAGAAUAAAAACAGAAUCAG